CACGUAGGGGGCAAGCGUUGUCCGGAUUUAUUGGGCGUAAAGAGCUCGUAGGCGGUUCGAUAAGUCGGGUGUGAAAACUCUGGGCUCAACUCAGAGACGCCACCCGAUACUGUUGUGACUUGAGUCCGGUAGGGGAGUAUGGAAUUCCCGGUGUAGCGGUGAAAUGCGCAGAUAUCGGGAGGAACACCAGUGGCGAAGGCGGUACUCUGGGCCGGAACUGACGCUGAGGAGCGAAAGCGUGGGUAGCGAACAGG
rnacentral:rRNA from 1 species